CCUCCUCAGCCACUCUCCCAACUUCUUUUCAGUCCUCAGCCUGGAGGCCUUCCCACAAGAUGAAUUAGACAGCAAACUGCCUGCCUCCCCUUCCCUGCCUUCAUGUUAAGCGAAGCCCUCCCUGACAUCUUUUAGUUAGUUAGUGCCAGUUGUUAACAGCCAUCUCUGCACUCCGCCUAUCUUUAAUAGCCUCUUACUGCAUUAGACACCAGUCUGGUAAUCCAGCUUUGUACCCAUAAGACCAUAAAAUCAGGGCACCUUGUUUCUUGUGGGAUCCAGAAGACCCAUCAUGAUAACUGGUACAUGGGAGAAGUCAAGUCUCUCACACUCCGCUUGAAGUCCGUCCUGCCUUUAAACCUCUUCCUUCCAUCACUCCUCACGCACGAACGCUUUGACAUCUGGCUUCUGAUUCCGCCUUUUAAAGUACAGUUCAUGGAGGUGAUUUUAAUUUUUAAGCACUAAUCAUGGGUGCUGUUGUUACCAUGGAAACCAAAUUUCCUCACCUGAGACAUGACAGCCGUGAUCACCCCUGACAGUCCUCAGACCUGAAUUUCAGACAAUCAGAGGCAAAGCAAUUUGGAGGCCUGUUCAUUUUGAAUUUCCACUUUUGUGAUUUUGGGGAAGCAUAGUGAGGCCCUUCCCAAUUUGUUGGAAGCAAAGAAAAGCCUGUGAAUGGAGAGCCAACUGCCAACUUUCAGUCCAAGGUAUCAGUCCCAAACACGUUUUUAUUAUUCUCUGGAAAAUAAGGUCGUAAAAAAGUAAUUGCUGACACAACCUUAAUGAUAGUAUUUUAAGUAUGCUGCCUGUAAUUAAAAUAGGGAUUUUAUUACGCUAGACCUCCGAGAGCCCAGCCUGUGCACCAUUCACGCCUCCCGGAUUUACAAAGCAAGCAACUUUGAUGCCUGCUGCUUUUGCUGUGUGGGCUGCACACUUCCUUUGUGCCUCUCCUGGUUGCUGCUUAUGUACAAAACCACCUCUCUCCUGGCAAAAAGCAAUAAGCAUCUGUGUUUCCAACGGUGCCCCGCAGCGACAGCGCCGCAGCUUUCUGCAGACUUCCUUGAGAAAUGUCAUGAAGGAGCUCCUCUUUCUCCUUUGAUUUCCCUCCAAUCAAACUUUCAUGUAUUGCACAAUGAGGUUAAAAUCCUACAAGGCUUUCUGAUUAAAGUUUGAAGAGGACUCUCUCAUUUCAGAAUUAGUAGCUGAUAUCUGAAAACUACUCUUGAACUCAAAGACAGCAAAGAACCAUGUGCUAAGAAUUGUGGACCAACGAGACAGCAAGGCCAUUGUCUAUAUUGUUGUGAGACACCACCCUGGCCAUGAGUUAGUUGCCUUUCAAUUCUUUCAUAAGAGAGAACUCACACGGUGGAGAAGGCACUAUGAACUGGUAUCACCUGCUCUCUACAACCACACCUAAUCCUACAAAUUAAAAGUAGCUUGAGACUUUU